GCCUGCCCACUGAUAUUUUAUUGAAUGGCCGCAGUAAUUUGACUGUGCAAAGGUAGCAUAAUCAUUAGUUUUUUAAUUGAAAGCUAGAAUGAAUGGUUGGACGAAAUGAAAUCUGUCUCUAUUUAAAUUAUUUUAGAAUUUAAUUUUUAAGUUAAAAAGCUUAAAUAUUUAUAAAAGACGAGAAGACCCUAUAGAUCUUUAUAUUUAUUUAUAUAAUUUUAUUAAAUAAUAUUAUAUUUUUUAUAUGGGUAAUUAUUUUAUUGGGGUAAUAAAAAGAUUAGAAAAAUUCUUUUUUUUAUAUUAUAUAGAUUAAUAAAUAUUUGAUCCAUUUUUUUUGAUUAUAAGAAUAAGUUACCUUAGGGAUAACAGCGUAAUUUUUUUUGAGAGUUCAUAUCGAUAAAAAAGUUUGCGACCUCGAUGUUGGAUUAAAAGUUAUUUUAGGUGCAGAAGUCUAAAUAUUUGGUCUGUUCGACCAUUAAAUUUUU
rnacentral:rRNA from 1 species